UCUCCGUUGGUGAACCAGCGGAGGGAUCAUUACCGAAGUUACCUUCAAAACCCACUGUGAACCUUACCUCUUGCCGCGUUGUCUCGGCGGGAGGCGGUGUGCGUCGCGCGCCCUAGCGGACCGCGCCGCUCCCGUCCCCGCCGGCAGCGCCAAACUCUAAAUGCACAGCGGACUGUACGUUCUGAUUUACAAAAAAAAACAAGUUAAAACUUUCAACAACGGAUCUCUUGGUUCUG
rnacentral:misc_RNA from 1 species